rnacentral:sRNA from 1 species
GCACGCCACCCUCCUCGUCCCCUCUCAUCACCCACCUCGUUCCAUGCUGUGUGUGCGCAUUCCCGUCGACAGAGCCGUCCUGUUUACCUAUUGUGUUUUACAGGCCGAGACAGCGGCUAACAGGAUAUGUAAGGUUCUUGCUGUGAAUCAAGAGAAUGAGAGGCUGAUGGAAGAAUAUGAGAGGCUAGCGAGUGAGCUUUUGGAAUGGAUUCGUCGCACGAUCCCCUGGCUGGAGAACCGGACUCCCGAGAAGACCAUGCAAGCCAUGCAGAAGAAGCUGGAGGACUUCCGGGAUUACCGCCGGAAGCACAAGCCACCCAAGGUGCAGGAGAAAUGCCAGCUGGAGAUCAACUUCAACACGCUGCAGACCAAGCUGCGGAUCAGCAACCGGCCUGCCUUCAUGCCCUCCGAGGGCAAGAUGGUGUCGGAUAUUGCUGGUGCCUGGCAGAGGCU